UAGCCCCAAUUAAUUAACCCCGCCCUCAUUAACGUCCCGCUGCAGACAAAGACCUGCGGACCAAGGGCUUCAGCACCGAGUCGUGCCGGAGCAUGGUCAACCUCAUGGACAAAGAUGGGAACGGGAAACUGGGGCUGGUGGAGUUCAACGUGCUCUGGAACCGCAUCCGCAACUACCUGAGCAUCUUCCGCAAGUUCGACCUGGACAAGUCGGGCUCCAUCAGUGCCUACGAGCUGCGCCUGGCGCUGGAGGCUGCAGGUGACACCCCCGG